UGGGGAAUAUUGCACAAUGGGGGAAACCCUGAUGCAGCGACGCCGCGUGAGUGAAGAAGUAUUUCGGUAUGUAAAGCUCUAUCAGCAGGGAAGAUAAUGACGGUACCUGACUAAGAAGCCCCGGCUAACUACGUGCCAGCAGCCGCGGUAAUACGUAGGGGGCAAGCGUUAUCCGGAUUUACUGGGUGUAAAGGGAGCGUAGGUGGUUCGGUAAGUCAGAUGUGAAAGCCCGGGGCUCAACCCCGGGACUGCAUUUGAAACUAUCGAACUAGAGUGCAGGAGAGGUAAGGGGAAUUCCUAGUGUAGCGGUGAAAUGCGUAGAUAUUAGGAGGAACACCAGUGGCGAAGGCGGCUUACUGGACUGUAACUGACACUGAGGCUCGAAAGCGUGGGGAGCAAACA
rnacentral:rRNA from 1 species